rnacentral:rRNA from 1 species
AUACGUAGGGUGCAAGCGUUAAUCGGAAUUACUGGGCGUAAAGCGUGCGCAGGCGGUUUUUUAAGACAGAGGGGAAAUCCCCGGGCUCAAACUGGGAACUGCCUUUGUAACUGCAAGGCUAGAGUACGGCAGAGGGGGGUGGAAUUCCGCGUGUAGCAGUGAAAUGCGUAGAUAUGCGGAGGAACACCGAUGGCGAAGGCAAUCCCCUGGGCCUGUACUGACGCUCAUGCACGAAAGCGUGGGGAGCAAACAGGAUUAGAUACCCUGGUAGUCCACGCCCUAAACGAUGUCAACUGGUUGUUGGGUCUUCAUUGACUCAGUAACGAAGCUAACGCGUGAAGUUGACCGCCUGGGGAGUACGGCCGCAAGGUUGAAACUCAAAUGAAUUGACGGGG